rnacentral:rRNA from 1 species
GAUGAACGCUGGCGGCGUGCCUAAUACAUGCAAGUCGAGCGAACGGACGAGAAGCUUGCUUCUCUGAUGUUAGCGGCGGACGGGUGAGUAACACGUGGAUAACCUACCUAUAAGACUGGGAUAACUUCGGGAAACCGGAGCUAAUACCGGAUGAUAUUUUGAACCGCAUGGUUCAAAAGUGAAAGACGGUCUUGCUGUAACUUAUAGAUGGAUCCGCGCUGCAUUAGCUAGUUGGUAAGUUAACGGCUUACCAAGGCAACGAGGCAUAUCCGACGUGUGGGAGGGGUCGGCCACCCUGGAGGUGAGCCACGGACCAGACGCCUACGGGAGGCAGCAGUAGGGAAUCUUCCGCAAUGGGCGAAAGCCUGACGGAGCAAGGCCGCGUGAGUGAUGAAGGUCUUCGGAUCGUAAAACUCUGUUAUUAGGGAAGAACAGAUGUGUAAGUAACUGUGCACAUCUUGACGGUACCUAAUCAGAAAGCCACGGCUAACUACGUG